rnacentral:rRNA from 1 species
UACGUAGGGGGCAAGCGUUGUCCGGAAUCAUUGGGCGUAAAGCGCGCGUAGGCGGCUCUGUAAGUCCGUUGUGAAAGUCAAAGGCUCAACCUUUGAAAGCCGAUGGAUACUGCAGGGCUAGAGUCCGGAAGAGGCGAGUGGAAUUCCUGGUGUAGCGGUGGAAUGCGCAGAUAUCAGGAGGAACACCAAUAGCGAAGGCAGCUCGCUGGGACGGUACUGACGCUAAGGCGCGAAAGCGUGGGGAGCGAACCGG